GGGAAUGUGGCUUAGUGGUAGAGUGCUUGCCUACCAUGCAUGAAGCCCUGGGUUCAAUUCCUCAGUACCA
rfam:Dipodomys ordii contig_37393, whole genome shotgun sequence.